UAGGGAAUCUUCGGCAAUGGGGGCAACCCUGACCGAGCAACGCCGCGUGAGUGAAGAAGGUUUUCGGAUCGUAAAGCUCUGUUGUAAGUCAAGAACGGGUGUGAGAGUGGAAAGUUCACACUGUGACGGUAGCUUACCAGAAAGGGACGGCUAACUACGUGCCAGCAGCCGCGGUAAUACGUAGGUCCCGAGCGUUGUCCGGAUUUAUUGGGCGUAAAGCGAGCGCAGGCGGUUUGAUAAGUCUGAAGUUAAAGGCUGUGGCUCAACCAUAGUUCGCUUUGGAAACUGUCAACUUGAGUGCAGAAGGGGAGAGUGGAAUUCCAUGUGUAGCGGUGAAAUGCGUAGAUAUAUGGAGGAACACCGGUGGCGAAAGCGGCUCUCUGGUCUGUAACUGACGCUGAGGCUCGAAAGCGUGGGGAGCGAACAGGAUUAGAUACCCUGGUAGUCCACGCCGUAAACGAUGAGUGCUAGGUGUUGGAUCCUUUCCGGGAUUCAGUGCCGAAGCUAACGCAUUAAGCACUCCGCCUGGGGAGUACGACCGCAAGGUUGAA
rnacentral:rRNA from 1 species